rnacentral:rRNA from 1 species
UACGUAGGGUGCAAGCGUUAAUCGGAAUUACUGGGCGUAAAGCGUGCGCAGGCGGUUUUGUAAGUCAGAUGUGAAAUCCCCGGGCUUAACCUGGGAACUGCAUUUGUGACUGGCGAGCUAGAGUAUGGCAGAGGGGGGUAGAAUUCCACGUGUAGCAGUGAAAUGCGUAGAGAUGUGGAGGAAUACCGAUGGCGAAGGCAGCCCCUGGGCCAAUACUGACGCUCAUGCA